rnacentral:rRNA from 1 species
UACAGAGGUCUCGAGCGUUGUUCGGAUUUACUGGGCGUAAAGGGCGCGUAGGCGGCCACCGCAAGUCGAUUGUGAAAUCUCCGGGCUUAACCCGGAAAGGUCAACCGAUACUGCGGGGCUAGAGUGCAGAAGGGGCAACUGGAAUUCUCGGUGUAGCGGUGAAAUGCGUAGAUAUCGAGAGGAACACCUGCGGCGAAGGCGGGUUGCUGGGCUGACACUGACGCUGAAGCGCGAAAGCUAGGGGAGCGAACGGG